rnacentral:rRNA from 1 species
AUACGGAGGGUGCGAGCGUUAAUCGGAAUUACUGGGCGUAAAGCGUACGUAGGCGGUUGGUUAAGUUAGAUGUGAAAGCCCCGGGCUUAACCUGGGAACUGCAUUUAAAACUGGCGAACUAGAGUUGAGUAGAGGGGAGUGGAAUUUCAGGUGUAGCGGUGAAAUGCGUAGAGAUCUGAAGGAACACCAGUGGCGAGGGCGACUCCCUGGACUCGAACUGACGCUGAGGUACGAAAGCGUGGGUAGCAAACGGGAUUAGAAACCCUAGUAGUCC